UGGAGGUGAUGAGCAGCCUCGGCCUGACCUUGUGGAGUGGAGGCGACAAAGCUGAUUUAAUGAGCCUGAUCC
ensembl:snoRNA small nucleolar RNA, C/D box 57